rnacentral:rRNA from 1 species
GUGAACGCUGGCGGCGUGGAUAAGGCAUGCAAGUCAAGGGGGCCGCAAGGCAACCGGCGAACGAGGUAGUAAUACGCAGGUACGCACCGAAGAGUCUGGCAUAGCUACUCGAAAGAGUAGGUAAUUCCAGAUGGCGUGGUGACACUAAAGGAGUAAUCCGCUCUUUGAGCGGCCUGCGGGGUAUCAGCUAGAUGGUAGGGUAACGGCCUACCAUGGCUACGACACCUAGGGGACCUGAGAGGGUGACCCCCACCGAUGGGACUGAGACACGGCCCAUACACCUACGGGUGGCUGCAGUCGAGAAUCUUCCACAAUGGACGAAAGUCUGAUGGAGCGACGCCGCGUGAUUGAUGAAGUCCUUCGGGACGUAAAGAUCUUUUAUGGGGGAGGAAGUAAUUGACGUUACCCCAUGAAUAAGAGGCUCCUAACUCUGUGCCAGCAGGAGCGGUAAGACAGAGGCCUCAAGCGUUACCCGGAAUCACUGGGCGUAAAGGGUGUGUAGGUGGCAAUGUUAGUCUCUCGUAAAAGCUUUCGGGCUUGACCCGGAAAAUGCGAGGGAAACGGCAUAGCUACGAGGGUGUGAGAGGUGCACGGAACUCAUGGUGUAGGGGUGAAAUCCGUUGAUAUCAUGGGGAACACCAAAUGCGAAGGCAGUGCACUGGCACAUUUCUGACACUGAAACACGAAAGCGUGGGUAGCGAACGGGAUUAGAUACCCCGGUAGUCCACGCCCUAAACGAUCUGAACUGGCUAUAGGGAGUAUCGACCCUCUCUGUGGCGAAGCUAACGCGUUAAGUUCAGCGCCUGGGUAGUACGAUCGCAAGAUUAAAACUCAAAGGAAUAGACGGGGACUUGCACAAGCGGUGGAUCAUGCGGCUCAAUUCGAUGAUAAACGAAGAACCUCACCAGGGUUUGAAACCCAGACGAAAGCCUUAGGAAACUUUGGCCCUCGCAAGACGGCUGGGCAGGUGAUGCAUGGUCGUCGUCAGUUCGUGGCUUGAGUUGUUCCCUUCAGUGGGGUAACGAACGCAACCCUCGUUGCCUGUUUUAUAUGUCAGGCGAGACUGCCCCCUCACGGGGGAGGAAGGUGAGGAUGACGCCAGAUCAGCAUGUCCCUCUGAUAUCCUGGGCUGCACGCAUGGUACAAUGGCUAUUACAACAGGUCGCAACGGGGUAACCCUGAGCCAAUCCUUAGAAAAAUAGCCCCAGUUCGGAUUGAGGUCUGCAACUCGACCUCAUGAAGCCGGAAUCGCUAGUAAUCGCGGGUCAGCCAUACCGCGGUGAAUACGUUCUCAAGUCUUGUACUCACCGCCCGUCAACUCAAGGGAGCCGGGAAUACCCGAAGAUCCGCGUAUGCGGGUUCACGGUAAGCUCGGUGACAGGGAGU